AAUUGUAAUUAUAUAUUAAACUCAUAACUUCUGGCAUUCUUCAAUAUUUUUAACUAUGUACGAUAUCUUAUCUAGAUAUGUUAUGUCUCUAAGAGAAGCCCACCGAAGUCUAUUGUAAUUCAUCAAACGUUUUUGACUACGUAGCUGAAGAUAAGAAAUGUAAGAUAUCUCGGUAAGUACAAACUUUCUUUUAUUAUAUGUCAGGUGGUUGACUUUUUUGUUAUCUGGAACUGUAGGAAGCGUUAUAUAAGUAAU